UUUCUAUGGGUAAUAAGAGGAUACCUUUAUAGUUUCAUGAUGUGGAGACCAAGAUACAUAAGAAAGCAAGAAUGAGUCUCCGGGUGUUCCCUCUGAUCAGCAAACAUGAAUUCAUAAUUUCAUUUACUCUCAUUUUUGUAAUGCACUCUGAGCAAUCCUCCAGGCAGAUCCUAUUUACUAAGCUUCAGGCUUUUGUCCCAUUUUAUAAUGCCCAAACACAUGGAGAAAACAUUUUGUUGUUUUUAAAAACAGGUAUGGGAUUUCUGAUAUAAUCAAUUUUAUUGACUUCUUGGGAGUUGUAAUGAUCUGUGACUCACUGCAUAAUAUUGUAGUUUUAUAGGGUGGCACAUCACCCUGUGUAAAACAACUUUAAUGACCUGAGGACUGAUGAGUACAGGAAGUGAGGUUUAUCAUGAGUAGCAUUUAUUAAGCAUCUGCUAGAAUCAAAGCACUGCAUUAGCUACUAAGGUACAAAGUAAGACACAGUUUAAUAAGGAAGACAGGGCAUCUACCCAAGUCAACAGUUCAGUGACAUCUGUUAUUUGAACCACACACCAAUGCAACCGAAGUAAAUGCUGAAAGGGUGAGAAGAAGGAAUAGAUUACUAUGCAUUUUUGAGAGGAUGAAGAAGGCUUCUUGGAGAAGGUUUCUGAAAAGAGAUACGGAAUUAAGAGAAAUAGAAAAGAGCACUGACGAAGCACUCAGGAUGGCUAUUCAAGGAAUUGGGGAUCCACAGCAGCUGUGCACAACCAUCCCUAAUGCCAGAAAAAUGGGGUAAGGGUGAAGGGAACUGGGUCUAGAGCUUUGCAUGUUUUUUUCUGGUUAACCCUUAGAGUCACCCUGAAGGUGUGGAUCCCAUCUUAUAAUAAGGUGAGGACACUGAGUCAGGAAACUAACUUGCUAAAAUCAAGUCCUCCCAGUCCUCCCAUCAGGUCCUUCCAGAUCUGGAGGAGCCAGGAUUUGAACUCACAUUUGUCUGACUUCAAAAUCCAUGCUUUUUCUUGUGUUCCAAAUUGCACAAUGGAGUCACUGCCAGUUCAAGCUCCUAUGAAAAGGGAUGGAUGUGAAAAGUCAUUUGUUGAUUCCACAGAUUUUUAGUAGGUACCAUGUCUCCUGCCUUUAUCACUAUCCUACUCCUCUGCUACAACUUCUCUGCUACAGGCACCCACUGCAGUUACUUGAUAUGAGUUAAAUGAAUCCAUCCAUCCAAACUUCCAUUCAUUGAAUAAAUACUUAGCAAUGGCUUCCUUUGUAUCAGGCACUAUUCUAGGAGCUGGGGCUACAGUGCAGAUGGAAACCAGCAAAGCUCACUGCCCUCAUGGAGCUUAUAUGUAAGUGAAUAAAUCUCAGGGUGGUUCUCCUGUCAUAGGUCCUGGCUCCUCUGCCAGCUCUUCCAAAUGGGUUCAGAGAGGUUUUCUCCUUGUCCUGUUGUGUAACUGAUAAUCCCAUGGUGGACCUCACUUUGCUAUUCAUAUGCACUAAGUAGUUUAUGGUGUGCUUUGUGGCUGGCAAUUGUGACAGAUUCUAUUCUUCUAUUGGUAUGUGGUUUCUUUGGGGCAUUUGUUUGGAUACUGAUGGCAUCUUCCGGGGGUCUGAGGCACCUACACAAACCUCAGGUCACUAUCACGUGAUACUGGAGUUGCCUGUUAAAUUAUAUUUCUUCUUCCACAAAACUGCAGGUUCCCUGAGGGAAAGGUCUAUGUCCUGCUCAUUUUUGGAUCCCUAAUGGCUGGCACAGUACCUGGUGCAUAAUAUGGUUCAACAAAUAUUUGUAAAAUGAAUGAAUCAAAUAGUCCUUCAAAGCAUCUUCAGAAUCAAGAUUGUCAUCUAGAUUGCACCCGAAGUUUAUCUUUCUAGUAUUCAGAAUAUAAUCAAUCAUUGCUUAAAUUAUUCCAUUUCAUCAUUCUUGAAUAAAAGCUACUAAUUUUAAAUACUAAUAUCUGAGAUAUCUUCGAAAAGAAGAUUAGUCGUUGUAUGUGUUGCUUAUAAAUUUUCUCUAUGGUGGAAAAUAUUCCCAAACCAUGUCUAAGCAAUGAAAAACCAGUGUUCUGGCAGGAAAUAAACUGAUGUUUGUUGUGUUUUGUAUCUGUCUUCCCGUUCCAAAUCAUUUAUAUAUACUUGAUGGUCUGUGGGCUUGACUUGCAAGUAUUUUCCUGGGAGACAUUUUUAUUCAAAAGACCUGUAUUGCCUGCCAAACCUUCAUUUAAGAGACUCAUUAUGGAUGUCAUCUGCAUCAUUGCAAACUUUUCUGGUCGUCUCUAUAAAUAGCAAGAUAAUAUUUACAGAGUUUUACAUUGGCUCUUGAAUUUUAAAAUAUUCUUAUAGACAAACAUUAAUUGGAAUGGGGGGUAAGGAGGUAGGAAUGGCUUACUUGCGGAAAUGCAGGCUCAUUGUUGUGUCUAGUAGGUGCUAGGUGCAUUCACACAUCUCUUAAGCUUUAAACAACCUAUUGAGCCGGUUUCCAUUUCCUUGAUCUAUUAGAUUUAAAAAAAUGAAGCAUAAAGGAGUUGGCUCUUGCCCUAAGUCAUACUACUGAUGGAAUGAGAAUACAAACCAAAAACACUUUAUUCAAGUCCAGGAAAUAUCUGCCUUG
rnacentral:lncRNA from 1 species